AUGCGCACUGGCGCCCUGCGACAACCGCCACCGCUCCCGGAGGCGGCCAGGACCGGCUGGAGCCGGUUAGAGCCGGCGGUGCCCGCCCGCGAGCCGGCGCCUCACAAGGGGAGGCGGCGGCUCACGGCUCGCGUAUCCCUGCGCCGGGCGGGUGCGGGGUGCGCGCCGUGCCGUGCCCUUCCCCCCAGCCUUUGUCUCCAGCCUGCAGCUGCGGCGGCCCAGGUCUCCGGGCCAGUCCCUGCCCCCAGCCCUCCCCGCGGCCCCUGCAGCCCCCCGAGGGGUCUGGACGUGGGGCAGAGCUUGGCCGAGGGGAGCCGGAGAACACGCGCCCUCUCGCCCCCCACACGUCCCACCUCGCCGGGUUCUCCGCGCAGCCGCAUGGCCCCGUGGAAACCUGUCUCCCGUUGUAAAAACCUCGGAAGUGGAGCCAAGCCAGAGAGAAUACGGAUUCCAAAGCACAGACUUAGAAAAGCACACUCCUAAGCAGUUUCGCGAAAGUCUGAGAACGUUCCCGGACGGGCUGCCCGAGGUCGUUUCCUCAGAAAAGCCUUCUGGCGUUUGGGGAUCAAAGAGGACGCUUAAAACUUGACUUUGACAGUUUUGGGUUUUGGUGACUUUGACGAGAAGCUUGGAAGCUCAGAAACGGUUCACAUUUGGGCAGAACAAAAAGUGUGGGCGUGAUAUUAAAAAAGGCAGAGAUGUGGGGGGGUCGAGCUAGCAUUUAGGGACCCCAAAGCCGGGACCACUGAGCCCGUGAAGUAACACAAGUCCCCCCCCCCCCCCGGCCCCCUUCGUGUUGGUUCGGACGCAGGAGGCAGCCCUGCCCCGGAACUACUUGAGACAUUUUCUAGAAGUGGAUUUCCACGUUUAGUAGAAUUCUUAAGCAGAUAACCCGGACCGCCGGGCUUCUCCAAUAACAGGGUAAUCAGAAUGUCGGGGCUAACCUGAGAACCGACUGGCAGGCCCCGAGGCUAUUUGGGGGACAAACGGACACUUUGCCGCAGCUAAGAUGGCCGCCAUCUCCUGACGAGGCUGAGGUUCGGUUACAUAAUGGAAAUAAAAGGCCGUCAACAACUCCAUUUCAACCGUCCUUCAUAAAGCACUUCAUAGUAUCUACUGUACUGCCAAGAAAACAUGAGGUAUUUUUAAAGCUACUAAAAAAAUUCCUAAGUAAUGGAUCUGAAGUUAGGGAAAGCUGUUUGAUCUACUUAAAUGUGAUUUUUGUGCCUAAGUCUUCAGUUCAAAUCUACUUGCUAGUAAGUUUUGACUAUUCCUGGGUACACGGGGGGUAAUCAAGUUGCCUGAACUGUCACGAAAGCUCCAGAAAGUCUUGUAAAGCUAGGUUCUAUUUUUAACCCGGCCAUGGAACUAUUUUUGCUUCCCCUCACAAAGGCGGCGGAGGGUUAUUGAAAUCGCGGUGUGAGCUGUCUUCCGUCUAUAAAUAUGCCUCUCCCGGGUUCUGCUGCAGGCUUUCAGGCAGCGAGCGCAGAGACGGCUGGUGAGGGAGGAGGGACUGCUUAAGGCGACAGCAGAUAAGUUUUUCUUAAAAAAAAAAAAGCUAGGAAUUAAAGCAAUCUUUAGGAAACGUAAAUAGGGAUAAUACUUCUUGAGAUAUUGCUUAGCAUUAAAUUCGUAGAGUAGUAUUGUAAUCUUAAAAAGAGCUUAAAAGGAAAGCAAUGAAGAUUUUAAAGAGUAGCUUGAGAAAGAAAAUGCUCUUUGUAGAAAAAGACGGAGGUUAAGAGAUGAAGCUUAAUGGAGUGGAAAGAAAUCUAAUUUUAGAAGAAUUGUUGAGAGGACUGCAAAGUCCGGGAUUCA
rnacentral:lncRNA from 1 species